rnacentral:piRNA from 1 species
UUAUCAACUGGUAGACUAUAG